AUUGAACGCUGGCGGCAUGCCUUACACAUGCAAGUCGAACGGUAACAGGUCUUCGGAUGCUGACGAGUGGCGAACGGGUGAGUAAUACAUCGGAACGUGCCCGAGAGUGGGGGAUAACGAGGCGAAAGCUUUGCUAAUACCGCAUACGAUCUCAGGAUGAAAGCAGGGGACCGCAAGGCCUUGCGCUCACGGAGCGGCCGAUGGCAGAUUAGGUAGUUGGUGGGAUAAAAGCUUACCAAGCCGACGAUCUGUAGCUGGUCUGAGAGGACGACCAGCCACACUGGGACUGAGACACGGCCCAGACUCCUACGGGAGGCAGCAGUGGGGAAUUUUGGACAGUGGGCGCAAGCCUGAUCCAGCCAUGCCGCGUGCAGGAUGAAGGCCUUCGGGUUGUAAACUGCUUUUGUACGGAACGAAAAGACUUCUUCUAAUAAAGGGGGUCCAUGACGGUACCGUAAGAAUAAGCACCGGCUAACUACGUGCCAGCCGCCGCGGUAAAAC
rnacentral:rRNA from 1 species